GUGUGUGUUAUGUGAUAUAACAGGUAUAUCAACGCGAACCGACAUUCGCUUGUGUUCUGUAAGUCUCCGCGUUGGUUUCCUUAUCUAUAUUUAUUCACAUGCAAUGCAGCAGUAGCAAGGCCGGCCACGAAUGCGGUUUGGCAUUCCGGCUCGUUUGAGCCUUUGCAACUGUGCUUCGCAAGCUAGAAAGAUGCUAGCGGACACCGUCGAACAGAACACAAAAGCAAUGGAAAGGGGCAGGUUCCAAGUUCCAGUGAAUCAAGAAUGGUCAGCCUAGCUGCUGCUCGGGGUAACACCAACGAUAAAGAUUCCCCUGGCUACAUGGCAUUGCCUCAA